rnacentral:rRNA from 1 species
UACGUAGGGUGCAAGCGUUAAUCGGAAUUACUGGGCGUAAAGCGUGCGCAGGCGGCUUUGCAAGACAGAUGUGAAAUCCCCGGGCUCAACCUGGGAACUGCAUUUGUGACUGCAUGGCUAGAGUACGGUAGAGGGGGAUGGAAUUCCGCGUGUAGCAGUGAAAUGCGUAGAUAUGCGGAGGAACACCGAUGGCGAAGGCAGUCCCCUGGACCUGUACUGACGCUCAUGCACGAAAGCGUGGGGAGCAAACAGG